rnacentral:pre_miRNA from 1 species
AUUCUGACCAAGGCACUUCCAAAAGCCAAAUUUGAAUACUUGAGACAAAAGCUUGGAGUUUGCAAUUCCAAAGUCAAGGAGGAGUGUUAAGAUUUGACUGUUGGAACUGCCUAACAAAUUAU